rnacentral:lncRNA from 1 species
UGAAGAAUUCCUAAGAAUUCGUCAAUCUGUCGCUGAACAGGUCAGCCAACUUCAACGCUCCGUUUGGCCCCUCAAACGACCUCCAAUCGUAUUUUGUGCAGAAAUACGACUUCUUCGUCUUCGAAAGAGCGUUCCGUGGCCGCCUGAUUCGUCUGAAUCGGAGUUCUGUGGAGGAAGUUAUGGCCGUUUUACGGAGACUGCCAGAACUUGGUUUCCUGCGAAAAUCUGACUCCAGCUCUGAUCUUCUCGACUGUAUCCCGCUCAAUUCCCAACGUUGGAUGGACAACGAGCUAUGGAAAUUCCCAAGACAGAAUGGCCACACACGUUUCCUGCGCCUCCCUCUGCUCUCAAAAACCCUAAUUUUUAUCAGUCUUUUCCUGAGAGCUGACAGCUGUAUUUAAUAAUACAGAAAAGGGGAGGAGGCGCCACAAUCUUAGUGAGGGCCGAAAAUUCUGUCUUCUUGGGCUAGGAGACAUUGGGCCAGCCCAGGGACCAGAUACAAGGAAUAAAGAUGGGCCUCAAAUAAAUUAAUUCAUCCAUGGUCAGCCCAGACCAUAAUUAAUUUAUAAAUAUCAGUUCAUUCCACUAGAGAACCGAUACUGACUUACCCCUUUAUUGCCGGUGAUGAGUCGGGGCUUGUAUUUAGACUUAUUAAAUCUCCGUAUUUAAAAUAUCCGACAUCCAUUAAUUAAUUAGAGCUCUGACAGCUUAAAUUAAUUAAUCUCUUUAUAAUCCUUAAGCAGUACCACUCAAACUUUAUUAUUACGCCUGAACUUAAUCAACCUGCAGGGUUUAGCGUAAUAAACCUUAUUGAGCUCCUUAAGGGGAUGUCAUUAUCCUAUACCGGAUACGGGUACUAAUACAGAUAAUCAAAUAUCAUAUAUCAACCGCUAUCACCCAAGAUACAGAGUACUCGAGUUAGUAUAUAACCUUCACCCAUAGUAAGUCAAAGUGAUAUACGAGUUAACAUAUAUAUCUGAAUACUUAUUAGUAUUAAGAUUUAUAAGUCACCGAGAUCUUGAUUCUUCACUUAAGUCAGAUAGAAGAAUACAUCUCAAACUGUGGUCCUAUCAAUACGUAAUGACGUACCAGUAUAGACAAGUAGCCAAGACAAACUACUUCCAUCUAUACUGCAGCCUAAACCAAUAACUUGUCCUAGAGUUAUUUCGGCUGUGAUCAUAUUAUAUCUCUUAAGGUUAUUCCAAUUAUAUGGUCUUCUGUGAUCUACAACACACCAUAUAAUCUACUUAUAUAGAGAUAAAGAACAUACAUAUGCAAUCAUGAACACAAUCAGAUAGGAGAUUAGAUAGUGAACUUAGGAAACAUUGUAUACAAGCAUAAAACGUUCUUG